GCAUGAGUAGCUCAACUGGAUAGAGCACCGGCCUACGAAGCCGGGGGUUGUGGGUUCGAAUCCCGCCUUGUGCA
rnacentral:tRNA from 1 species